GUUUGAUCCUGGCUCAGAGCGAACGCUGGCGGCAGGCCUAAUACAUGCAAGUCGAGCGGUUCCUUCGGGAACAGCGGCGGACGGGUGAGUAACGCGUGGGAACGUGCCCUUUGGUACGGAACAACUGAGGGAAACUUCAGCUAAUACCGUAUGUGCCCCCCUUCUUAGCGGGAGGGGUGGGAAAGAUUUAUCGCCAUUGGAGCGGCCCGCGUUGGAUUAGGUAGUUGGUGAGGUAAAGGCUCACCAAGCCUACGAUCCAUAGCUGGUCUGAGAGGAUGAUCGGCCACACUGGGACUGAGACACGGCCCAGACUCCUACGGGAGGCAGCAGUAGGGAAUCUUCCGCAAUGGGCGAAAGCCUGACGGAGCAACGCCGCGUGAGUGAUGAAGGUUUUCGGAUCGUAAAGCUCUGUUGCCAGGGAAGAACGGUUGGGAGAGUAACUGCUCCUGAUAUGACGGUACCUGAGAAGAAAGCCCCGGCUAACUACGUGCCAGCAGCCGCGGUAAUACGUAGGGGGCAAGCGUUGUCCGGAAUUAUUGGGCGUAAAGCGCGCGCAGGCGGUUCAUUAAGUUUGGUGUUUAAGGCUGGGGCUCAACCCUGGUUCGCACUGAAAACUGGUGGACUUGAGUGCAGAAGAGGAAAGUGGAAUUCCACGUGUAGCGGUGAGAUGCGUAGAGAUGUGGAGGAACACCAGUGGCGAAGGCGACUUUCUGGGCUGUAACUGACGCUGAGGCGCGAAAGCGUGAGGAGCAAACAGGAUUAGAUACCCUGGUAGUCCACGCCGUAAACGAUGAAUGCUAGGUGUUAGGGGUUUCGAUACCCUUGGUGCCGAAGUUAACACAUUAAGCAUUCCGCCUGGGGAGUACAGUCGCAUGACUGAUACUCAAGGAAUUGACGGGGACCCGCACAGCAGUGAGUAUGUGCUUUAUUCGAGCAACGCGAAGAACGUACCAGGUCUGACUUCCCUCCUGACCGGUACGGAGAUGUACCGUUUCUUCAGUACAGAGGAGACAGGUGGUGCAUGUUGGCUCCGCUCUGUCCUGCAUAGUGGUUAAUUUCCACGACAGACCACCCUGUACCUUAUGUCUAGCAUACAUGUAACUUAGAUACUGUCCGGACCAACCGAGUACAUCUCGUAGAUAGUCAGUCAAUCAUGC
rnacentral:rRNA from 1 species